ACAUCAUCAGAGAGGACUUCCUGGAAGAAAUUGGCUCUACAUUCAGUUCUGAGGACAGAUGUAAGAAUGCCGGUGACUGAGUUAGAAGCAUGCAUCCAAGCUGUCCGUGUCCUCGGCAUCCAGAAGCGGAGCCUGGAAGCUUCCGAAUUUCUUCAGAAUGCGGUCUACAUUCGCUUUCGGCAGAUAAGGAGACUGAGAAUUAUUUCUUCUGUCUUUUGUGGGGAGCUCAUUAUCA